ACGUAUCAGAUAUUAAACUGAUAAGAACAGAUACUACACUUGAUCUUAGCCAAAAGGCCGAGAAGCGAUGCCUCCACAGGCUCAGACCAAGAGGCCAGCUUCCCAGACACGUCGCUCCACUUGGCGGUUUAACAGACAACGACAAAACAAAAAAAAGACCAAGCACCCUGUCAGCGUGUUUGUGUGUAUGUGAAAGCUGAAGAAAUAAACCGAGGUCGCUACAUCUCUUUGCUGCUGCCUGCUGGCAGUCUCACUAGGCCGUCUGCAUGUUUCACAAAUAGAGUUUGGAGCAGUGGAGGCUUCUAUAAGACUACAGGUGAAGCAGUGCUUCACCAAAAAAAUGUUAAAAAAUAAAUAAACCAAAAAUCUUACAACAAUCCCAUUUUCAGUGCUUUGAAACAGAAAUACUCACGAAGACGAGCUGUUUUCCUGAAAUCAAUUAUGUGAGUCACAACAGCGCCACUAUUCCCAUUGACUUCAAUGUAAAUCGAGUGAACCCCAGGCGGCUCGUGUUUAUUUUCCGUUUCAAUUGAUCCUUAUGGCAGAUAAGUCCCACCCGUGAACCAGUGACCGAUAGGGUAGAAUUUUGCACUUCAGUCACUUGACACAACACUCUGGCCAGUCACCGCCUUCAUUGGACAGCUAUCGUGAACUGACUACGAGUGAAAGCAGAGGGCAGACCAAAACCUACUGUGAAAACCACACAGCUCGUUGGUGCUACGUUGGGGAUGUCAACACGAGGACUUGGCAAGGAAAUACUAUGAAAUGCGUCAUCGCCUCUCACACACGAAUGUCAUGGUAGGAACAGCUGGAUUCAGGAUUUCACCCCUGCAUUGGGGCCUCACCUGAUGGAUACGUUUCCUGUAGCUGCUGUGGUUCAGGUGUCAUAGAAAUUAAGUGCCCAUUUUCUGCAAAGGACCUUUCUGUUAAUUAGGCAGUAAAGUGUUUUUCUGCACAGAAACCAGCACCAGCAGCAGCAGCAUUUGCUGAUCAUAGUCAACAACAGUGGUGCUACUGCCCUGAGCCAGAAGCAGGGAACAUGGUGGUCUGUGCGUCAGGUUUUUGUUCAGUUAAAAAGUUUCACCAGACCUGCCUUCGCAUGAAAAGGGUCCCAAAACAGUGGGUAUGUCCCAUCUGCCGAAAAGUGAUCAAUGCCCAAAGAAGAAAACCUUAGUGAGGAGACUGUGAAAUGAGUUGUUUGUAGUAGCUGAUACUGUACUGUUAUUUAUGAAUAAACAGUUGUUAAACCAAUAUUGUUCUCUUCCCCAUAAUUUGUAUUAGAUAUCUGUAGCAAUCAGGGAUAUGAAACAUGGGUGGGUCAUUCAUAUAAAACACACCAGAACAAAUAUCUGUUUGGGUGGAACUCAAGUUAGAAUGGGUGGAUGUGCAGCUUGAUCUGCAAAGAGAAACGAUGUGAUCGCAUCAGAAUAGCGAGUGAUUAAAAAUAAUGUCACGACAAGCAAGCAAGAAGUGUGAGUCACAAAGGUUUAUUUGCUGGUUGAGCACAUCUGUAGCCAGUCACAUCAGUUCAAUUUACUGUACAUCCCCAUCACUGGAAGGACACCACAGAUUCAGACACAUUUGUAAGUGCACAACACACGCUCACCGUCUUGUCAAGGUAGGCCACAUCAUUUUCCCUGUCUAUGUCCGUGAAACAUAUGGGGACAGUGCUUUGCAAGACUGUGUACUUUGGACGGAGAACUCCUAUCACUCUUUCAAUAUGUAUCCUAAGAGAGGCUAGACGUCUGGUGUUCUCCAAGUCAGCAGGAUCUAACUGCUUCUAUCCACGAGUAAAUGCUGGAAUUUUUAAUUCAGCUUGGCAUCUCUCAAUGGACUCUUUAACCAGACAACCUCUGUCCGCUAAAACUACGUCCCCUGGGAGCAAAUGAGAUAAAAAGUGACUUUGUUCUGUGAUAAACGUAUCACUUGUGCGACCUCCCCAUCCAGCGGAAAUGAAACAAAUGGAACCUCGAGGGCAAAUUGCAAUUAAAUAUUUCAUUGUGUGGUGUGAUUUGUAUGAUGAGUAACACUGAGCACUGGCUAGCAAUCUACUGGGUUUCUCUAGAAAUAUUUCAAAACAAUCUAUAAUGCAAACUGUCUUUUCAAAGCUACGGUUUCGAAAUGCAUAUGGAAGAGAUUUUCUUAAGUAUUCUCUGUCAGGCCACAACACCAGACUUGGCACCAGUCUACAAUGCAUCACACUAAUGCAGUGUUUGAAGAGCUUUGAAACAGUGGUUGAGUCAAUGUCAAAAUAAAAAGCCAAAAACUCAAAGGACAAGUUCAUUCUAAGCUUAAUUAAAGUUAACAUGUACUGCUGAAAACAUGUUAAACUAGAUUUAAGUUGGAGAAAAGGAGCCACAAUAUGAAAAAUUGUCAUGAGAAUGGAGAAUGCUGAUAAACCAGUGAGAGUAUGAACCCUUUUAUCAUCGUUAUGCAAGCUCAUCUCAUUCAGUGUAGUCCUAUUCAUUUUUUCCUUCAACAACAUAUUUUCAGUCCUCAGAGCUUGGCAUUCUU